rfam:Erinaceus europaeus unplaced genomic scaffold scaffold00013, whole genome shotgun sequence
UCCAUAUUCUAGUGAGACAGCUUUUCAAGUGCCUUUCUGCAGUUUUUCAGGAGCUCAAGGUAGAUU